rnacentral:lncRNA from 1 species
ACAGAAGAGAAAGAAAACCCUGUAGGUUUUCAUAUGAACUGACCUGUAUGAUGAUGAAGACAUGAAUGUGAUUCCCGUUCCUCCUGUGUCUUUGGCAAAACAUAAUCCUAGAGGUUACAGAAGAUCCUUUUUUCAGAGGACGACAGAGUUACGUUUCCCCCUGCUGGUCACUUAUUAUACACCAGCAGCAACAGAAGAGUCAUAACCAUGAUGAGCCAAUAGAAAAACAACUCCCUGAGCUGCUGCAGGGUCAACGCAGAUCCAAGGGAUUUCAAAGAGCCAGCCAGGUUGCUGUGGUUACACACAAAAAAGAAAACAAAGGACGUCUGUGCUCGACGCGUUUCACAGGUAAGUUGGAAGCUUCAAAGAUCUGCAGCGGAGCGGAAACAGAACUAUUGUUGUUUUCUCCAAACUGCCGCUAAAGUGUCUUCUAAUGAGACAAUUAAAAAUGAUUUUCUGGACAGGAGAGGCAGACCACUGUAUGGAAUUAUUACAAAUACACUUUUAUGUUCAUUAAUUGGUCACACAGGGAUCAGUUGCAACAUGAAGGACUGUAUAUAGGAUGUAAUCAUUGAUAGUGGUAUCAGGGCACUUCCCUUGUAGAAUAAGAGAGAAACACUGAAUCAGCUCAGUGUCAAGUGAUAGUUUUAACAAUCUGUUCCUCCAAAGCAGCUCAGCAAUGAAAUUCACUUUACAUUUAUUACUUUUUCUUUUUCUUAACCGACGACGGUUGGAUGCAAGAACAACAGCAAAGCUCCAAUUAGACUGUAAAAUGCUGACAUGGAAUGUGGCUGCAUGAUUUGUAUGAUUUCUGUAUGAAUAACUACAGUAUAGUAAAUAUGUGAGGUGCCAUAACCCCCCCCCCCCCCGGGCAUUCACCACUUUAUACAUUGUCCAAGUAGAGCUGCUGCUCUGCUGUCAAUCAAAAGCCACUUCAUUACGCACCAGA